GUACGGAAGGCAGCAGUGGGGAAUAUUGGACAAUGGGCGAAAGCCUGAUCCAGCGACGCCGCGUGGGUGAAGAAGGCCUGCGGGUUGUAAAGCCCUUUCGGUGGGGAUGAAAAGCCUUGGCCUAACACGCCAGGGUCUUGACCUAACCCAAGAAAGAAGCACCGGCUAACUCUGUGCCAGCAGCCGCGGUAAUACAGAGGGUGCGAGCGUUAAUCGGAAUUACUGGGCGUAAAGCGCACGUAGGUGGCUUUGCAAGUCGAUUGUGAAAUCCCCGGGCUCAACCUGGGAACUGCAGUCGAGACUGCUUUGCUUGAGUAUGGGAGAGGGAAGUGGAAUUUCCGGUGUAGCGGUGAAAUGCGUAGAUAUCGGAAGGAACAUCAGUGGCGAAGGCGACUUCCUGGACCAAUACUGACACUCAAGUGCGAAAGCGUGGGGAGCAAACAGGAUUAGAUACCCUCGUAC
rnacentral:rRNA from 1 species